rnacentral:ncRNA from 1 species
UAACGGGUCAAUUCUAGUGGUGGUCCGAUUCGAGUUCGGGAGAAGAAUUGGAGCUUCGGAAAGCUACAAAGGUAAGUAUUUCUUUUAACCUUAAUUCAAUGUAAUUAGGGUUAUGUUUAGUAUGCAUGUUAAUCUCUAAAUUAAGUUUAGUUGCAAUUAGGGUAAAAAUUCGAUCUUAUUUUCGAUGCGUUCGUAUGCUUUCCAUCACAGAUACCGUCCUAGUCUCAACCAUAAACGAUGCCAACCAGGGAUUUACAGAUGUUGCUUUAAGGACUCUGUCAGCAUCUUAUGAGAAAGCAAAGUCUUUGAGUUUUGGAGGGAGUAUGGUCGCAAGGCUUAAACUUAAAGGAAUUGACAAAAGGGCAUCACUAGGAAUGGAAUCUACGGCUUAAUUUGACUCAACACGGAGAAACUUACCAGGUCUAGACAUAGUAAGGAUUGACAGACUGAGAGCUCUUUCUUGAUUAUAUGGGUGGUGAUGCAUGGUUGUUCUUAGUUGGUGGAGUGAUUUGUCUGGUUAAUUUUGUUAAUGAACAAGACCUCAGCCUGCUAACUAGCUAUGUGGAGGAACCCUCCACAGCCAGCUUCUUAGAGGGACUAUGGUCGCUUAGGCUAAGGAAGUUUUAGGCAAUAACAGGUAUGUGAUGCCCUUAAAUGUUCUGGGCCGCACCUGCGCUACACUAAUGUAUUCAAUGAGUCUAUAGCCUUAGCCAAGAGGCUCGAUAAAUCUUUAAAAUUUCAUCAUAAUGCGAAUAAAUCAUUGUGAUUGUUGGUCUUCAAUGAGGAAUUCUUAAUAAGCGCGAGUCAUCAGCUCGCAUUGAUUACGUCCCUACCUUUUACCCUAGAUUAUAA